AUGUUCACUGUUAUAUUCAUGUGUCUGUGGCUUUCACUCGGUGACUCCAUGGCAGCUUCAAUCAAGCCACUUUUCACUCAUACAAUUAUAGAUGAAGGCAGUGAUGUAACUCUGUCCUGCAGCUACAAAUCGAGUGGUCCAGGAAACUACCUGCACUGGUACAGACAAUAUCCAAAAUCUAAACCUGACUUCCUUCUUUAUAUAUCACAAAGUGGAUAUAAAAGUGACUCAAUCCCACCACGUCUCUCUGCUAAAGUUGAUGAAAAGAAUAACCAAGUGGAUCUGCUCAUCUCCUCUGCUGCUGUAUCAGACUCUGCACUAUACUACUGUAAGCGGCAAGAUCAGGAUCCCAGCAGCGACUCUGACACAGCGGUUAUUCCUGCAGCACCACUGGGUUUAUUCCCGCACCAGCAGCAAUGA